ACGAACGCUGGCGGCGUGCUUAACACAUGCAAGUCGAACGAUGAAGCCCUUCGGGGUGGAUUAGUGGCGAACGGGUGAGUAACACGUGGGCAAUCUGCCCUUCACUCUGGGACAAGCCCUGGAAACGGGGUCUAAUACCGGAUAAUACUUUCUCUCUCAUGGGGGAAGGUUAAAAGCUCCGGCGGUGAAGGAUGAGCCCGCGGCCUAUCAGCUAGUUGGUGGGGUAAUGGCCUACCAAGGCGACGACGGGUAGCCGGCCUGAGAGGGCGACCGGCCACACUGGGACUGAGACACGGCCCAGACUCCUACGGGAGGCAGCAGUGGGGAAUAUUGCACAAUGGGCGAAAGCCUGAUGCAGCGACGCCGCGUGAGGGAUGACGGCCUUCGGGUUGUAAACCUCUUUCAGCAGGGAAGAAGCGAAAGUGACGGUACCUGCAGAAGAAGCGCCGGCUAACUACGU
rnacentral:rRNA from 1 species